rnacentral:rRNA from 1 species
UACGGAGGGUGCAAGCGUUAUCCGGAUUUACUGGGUUUAAAGGGUGCGUAGGUGGGUUGGGAAGUCAGUGGUGAAAUACUUUCGCUUAACGAAGGAACUGCCAUUGAUACUAUCAAUCUUGAAUGUAGUGGAGGUAGGCGGAAUGCGUCAUGUAGCGGUGAAAUGCUUAGAUAUGACGCAGAACACCAAUUGCGAAGGCAGCUUGCUACACUACUAUUGACACUGAGGCACGAAAGCGUGGGAUCGA